UACGUAGGGGGCAAGCGUUAUCCGGAUUUACUGGGUGUAAAGGGAGCGUAGACGGCAUGGCAAGCCAGAUGUGAAAUACCGGGGCUCAACCCCGGGACUGCAUUUGGAACUGUUAAGCUGGAGUGUCGGAGAGGUAGGCGGAAUUCCUAGUGUAGCGGUGAAAUGCGUAGAUAUUAGGAGGAACACCAGUGGCGAAGGCGGCCUGCUGGACGAUAACUGACGUUGAGGCUCGAAAGCGUGGGGAGCAAACAGG
rnacentral:rRNA from 1 species